rnacentral:rRNA from 1 species
ACAGAGGGUGCAAGCGUUAAUCGGAAUUACUGGGCGUAAAGCGCGCGUAGGUGGUUUGUUAAGUUGGAUGUGAAAGCCCCGGGCUCAACCUGGGAACUGCAUUCAAAACUGACAAGCUAGAGUAUGGUAGAGGGUGGUGGAAUUUCCUGUGUAGCGGUGAAAUGCGUAGAUAUAGGAAGGAACACCAGUGGCGAAGGCGACCACCUGGACUGAUACUGACACUGAGGUGCGAAAGCGUGGGGAGCAAACAGGA